rnacentral:rRNA from 1 species
UGGCGGCACGCCUAAUACAUGCAAGUCGAACGAAGUAGCAAUACUUAGUGGCAGACGGGUGAGUAACAUGUGGGUAUCUUCCCUUUGGUGAGGAAUAACACGAGGAAACUUGUGCUAAUAUCUCAUAAGUCUUUACGGAGAAAGCUUUAUGCGCCAUUGGAUGAGCCUGCACUUGAUUAGUUAGUUGGUGGGGUAAUGGCCUACCAAGACUUUGAUCAAUAGCUGAUUUGAGAGGAUGAUCAGCCACAUUGGGACUGAGACACGGCCCAAACUCCUACGGGAGGCAGCAGUAGGGAAUCUUGCACAAUGGAGGAAACUCUGAUGCAGCGAUGCCGCGUGAGUGAAGAAGGCCUUUGGGUUGUAAAGCUCUUUCGUCGGGGAAGAAAAUGACUGUACCCGAAUAAGAAGGUCCGGCUAACUUCGUGCCAGCAGCCGCGGUAAUACGAAGGGACCUAGCGUAGUUCGGAAUUACUGGGCUUAAAGAGUUCGUAGGUGGUUAAAAAAGUUGGUG